rnacentral:other from 1 species
ACGCCCCUGUCGUGUUCGUGAUUGGCGGGAGAGUUAGAGCCAAUACAUGAAAAAAGGGGUCCCUUCCUGACGGUGGUGUGCACGCCCCCGACCGGGGGAAGCCUGAAGCCGUCACACCCAGGGAGCCCACCUGGUGAGAGCCAGGUUCAACUCGAACGCCGACACGGCACAGGGCAGGGGCUUU